CACCUGAGCUCCAUUUCGUUUGUCAUAGGAAAAGGGUCUGACUACUCAUAACAAGAUCAACACAUUCCGCACUCACUUAUUGGCAGGCAUCACUCAGCCAACUAGGAUAGCUGUUGCUGCUUUAGUUCAACGCUAGUGUUCCUUCUAAACUAAUAACUAAGCUCAGAGCACUAGACUGUCUGAUGAGCAGACCGCAGGCUGUGAGAAUUUGCAACAACACCUACUCCUUCCCUACUCCAAAGCCUUCUGCUUUGCUCCCAGUUCCCCACUGUGUAGCUCCGCACGACACCAACUCUAUCAUGAAGUUUGCUGAUGACACCAAGUUUGUAGGCCUUACAAUGAUGAGUAAGUAAUACAGGAAAUUUAAAAAAAACUGCCACUGUGGUGCAACAACCUCUCGCUCAACAGCAGCAACACAAAGGAGAUGGUUGUUUUCUUCGGGAAUCAGAGGCGGGAACACGCUCCGAUUCAUAUCAAUGGAGCUAUUAAAGGGUGUCAGCAUUUUUAAACGCGUCAGCUUUUACAAGUUGUCUAGAUUGCGCAACAGCGGCUCUUCUCAACCAAAGAAUCUCAGCAUGGGUCCCUUACCUAUCGCUUUCACCAUCCCAAGAACUCAGCCUGCCUGCAGGACGGACGGCACCGGAACUUCACACCUGACAGCAAGACCAGGUGUUGCUGAGGUAUAGGCGGGCUGCAUACGAGCGAGGGCAAGGGACGCUGCAACCGCAAUCUGUCGAGGCUACGACACCUGCUGUGCCUCCGCUGAUUACUACAGAACUCCAGCAUUACAGCCAUUUGAGAAUGUCAGGGAAUGGAUGUCGUUGUGUACACAAGACGAGGAACACGCCACACGUGUCCGGAGAGAUAGCGAGGGGGGAUGAAUAAUCGCU